rnacentral:misc_RNA from 1 species
UAUGUAUGUACAUAUGUAUGUGCGUGAGCGUACCACGCAUGCAUGGCAUCGCCUGCCGCUUCCCCUCUCAUCCAACUAACCCCUACCCUCUUACAUGUCCGUUUGUUUCGAAACAAAGGACGUCCAAACGACGAGCUGCUCCCCCCCUCCCCCUUCGCUCCCCCACCCACCCACCUACCCACUGACUCUCCCCUGCCCCUCUCUCCGCAGUCUUCGCUGACUGACCUUUUUUUUCUUCUCCCUCUCUCUCGUCGUUUCUUUUGCCGGCUCAGCUGCUCUGUGCGUCUUCUCUCCGCAUCCCUCCAUGCCCCCUCCUCCAUCUCCUCCCCCCUCCCCAUUCUCCUCGCUGAGUCAUCGUCGCCCCUCCCCCUCUCUAGAACGCCCCCCCCCCUGGUGUGUGUCUUCGGAUGCUUCACGACUCUUUCCAGUGGUGGCGGUACAGAGGUCACAAGACGUGACGCCAUAGGGUUCGCGAGCGCGGCAUAUACACCGCCACGCGAAGAGACGGGCUGCGAUGGCUGUGAUGGCGCACGACGCUGUGGGGGGGGAGGGGGGGCCUCACCGCGUGUCGGCCAGCGGCGCAACGUGCCGAUGACGCGGUGAGCAGGCAAAGCGAAGGAAAGGGCGGCAUCGAUGGAUGGGCGACGUUUUCCCUGCUGUGUUCGUUGUUCGACUUGGCGCACACCUCCGUUGUGGGCUCCCUCUUUCAUUAUAUCUUCUAUCGGUUAUCUGCUCUCCCUCUCUCCCUUCAUCUCUCUCUCUCUGUGUGUGUGUGCGCGCGCACGCGUGCUCUUCCCUGCUUUCCCUUUCGUUUCUUGCCCUCCUACUCUCCUCUUCCGUCUGCGUCUGCGUGUCGUGGCCUCUACGCGCUAUCCUAUGUGUGCGUGCUGUCUCUACCCGGCUGUGUCUCGUCCCUCUUCCUUUUCAGCCCUUCCCCCCCUUCUUCUGCCUCGGGUCGUGCUCUAUGUUUGUCCUCCCCGACGUCGGGCUCUGACUGCCAGCGCGAGUGUGUGCCGCCGCCGCGCAGACAUGAGGGGAGUCAGCGCUGCAUGGGACCCCUAUCGCUCGCACACCCCCGCAAACGAUCUCUCUCUGAGCCUUGGUCUUGCAUGGAGGCCGGCCGCAUCAAGAGGACGACGCCAACAACAUUUUCGCUGUGCCUCCCGCUGGCCCCACUCCCUUCCCCAUUCCGCCGAAGAUGAUGAGGAUCACGUCGCUCCACCCGGCCUGUGACACGCCGAGUAGAGCGGUGUUGAGUUCCUCUUGCACGGUCGACUGAAGCGGGGGAGGGCACGUGAAAGGCACAACCCUCUCGAAGUCCAGCGCUGGCAGCCAAGCUUGACCGCGUGCUUGUGCGCGUGUGUGGCAGCGCCGCUGCCGCCGGAGCCGUGAACGAGUCCUGGCGUGGCCAGUUUGGCAUAUGCCUGUGUAUGCUUUAGCCACAUCCGUCCCACCUCUCUCUAUCUCUCGCACAGACGCGCACCGCAAGCAGUGAGCAGAAGCCCGUGCGGCAACGUGUGCAUGCGCGU